rnacentral:rRNA from 4 species
AUUGACCUCGGAUCAGGUAG